ACACCCUUAUACACACCCAUAUACACACACCCGUAUACAGUCACUUAUUCACACACCCUUAUACACACCCGUAUACACACCCGUACACCCAACCUUAUACUCACCCGUAUACACACAGCCUUAUACACACCCGUAUGCAUACUCCCUUAUACACACCUGUAAACUCACUCACUUAUUCACACACUCUUAUACACACCCGUGUACACAUUUACUUAUUCACACACCCUUAUGCACACACCCUUAUACACACAUGUAUACUCACCCCCUCAUACACUCGGUCUUAUACACACCCG
ensembl:lncRNA